GAUGAACGCUGGCGGCGUGCCUAAUACAUGCAAGUCGAGCGAACAGACGAGGAGCUUGCUCCUCUGACGUUAGCGGCGGACGGGUGAGUAACACGUGGAUAACCUACCUAUAAGACUGGGAUAACUUCGGGAAACCGGAGCUAAUACCGGAUAAUAUAUUGAACCGCAUGGUUCAAUAGUGAAAGACGGUUUUGCUGUCACUUAUAGAUGGAUCCGCGCCGCAUUAGCUAGUUGGUAAGGUAACGGCUUACCAAGGCAACGAUGCGUAGCCGACCUGAGAGGGUGAUAGGCCACACUGGAACUGAGACACGGUCCAGACUCCUACGGGAGGCAGCAGUAGGGAAUCUUCCGCAAUGGGCGAAAGCCUGACGGAGCAACGCCGCGUGAGUGAUGAAGGUCUUCGGAUCGUAAAACUCUGUUAUUAGGGAAGAACAAAUGUGUAAGUAACUAUGUACGUCUUGACGGUACCUAAUCAGAAAGCCACGGCUAACUACGUG
rnacentral:rRNA from 1 species